rnacentral:tRNA from 1 species
CUUAAAUAAGAAACAAAGUAUUGUAUUUAGUUUCGACCUAAAACCUUGAUGGAAACAUCCUUAUUUU